rnacentral:rRNA from 1 species
GGGUGUGAUCAUACUAGUGUUAAUGUACUGGAUCCCAUCAGAACUUUGUAGUUAAGCAUGCUUGGGCUAGAGUAGUACUGGGAUGGGUGACCUCCUGGGAAGUCCUAGUGUUGCAUCGU